CUUGGUCAUUUAGAGGAAGUAAAAGUCGUAACAAGGUCUCCGUUGGUGAACCAGCGGAGGGAUCAUUACAGAGUUAUCCAACUCCCAAACCCAUGUGAACUUAUCUCUUUGUUGCCUCGGCGCAAGCUACCCGGGACCUCGCGCCCCGGGCGGCCCGCCGGCGGACAAACCAAAACUCUUGUUAUCUUAGUUGAUUAUCUGAGUGUCUUACUUAAUAAGUCAAAACUUUCAACAACGGAUCUCUUGGUUCUGGCAUCGAUGAAGAACGCAGCGAAAUGCGAUAAGUAAUGUGAAUUGCAGAAUUCAGUGAAUCAUCGAAUCUUUGAACGCACAUUGCGCCCAUUAGUAUUCUAGUGGGCAUGCCUGUUUGAGCGUCAUUUCAACCCCUAAGCACAGCUUAUUGUUGGGAACCUACGGCUUCGUAGUUCCUCAAAGACAUUGGCGGAGUGGCAGUGGUCCUCUGAGCGUAGUAAUCUUUUAUCUCGCUUCUGUUAGGUGCUGCCCCCCCGGCCGUAAAACCCCCAAUUUUUUCUGGUUGACCUCGGAUCAGGUAGGAAUACCCGCUGAACUUAAGCAUAUCAAUAAGCGGAGGA
rnacentral:rRNA from 1 species